UAAUUUAUUGUUAUCAUAAUAGAUGAGAAACAGAACGUUUUAUCCAAUAUAUCUGCUAAUGCUGCUUAUGGUGUUAUUGGUGGAAAUGAAAAUGAUAUUUAUAAUAAUCCUGCUUAUGGAAUCAACACUGUAAUGACACAAAGUAUUAAUGAAGAACCCAUAGUGUACGAUGAGCCAAAAACAAUGAAUAAUGAACAAGAGGUUAUUGUAAUGCCAGCACAUAAAGAAACAUGUACACAACAGAAACAAGAAGAGUUGUGCAUCUAACAUAAGGACAAAAUUAACCACCUCAGCA
rnacentral:lncRNA from 1 species